rnacentral:rRNA from 1 species
CCUACGGGUGGCUGCAGUGGGGAAUUUUGGACAAUGGGGGCAACCCUGAUCCAGCCAUGCCGCGUGAGUGAAGAAGGCCUUCGGGUUGUAAAGCUCUUUCGGCCGGGAAGAAAUCGUGCAGGCUAAUACCCUGUAUGGAUGACGGUACCGGAAUAAGAAGCACCGGCUAACUACGUGCCAGCAGCCGCGGUAAUACGUAGGGUGCGAGCGUUAAUCGGAAUUACUGGGCGUAAAGCGUGCGCAGGCGGUUUUGUAAGACAGGCGUGAAAUCCCCGGGCUCAACCUGGGAACUGCGCUUGUGACUGCAAGACUAGAGUACGGCAGAGGGGGGUGGAAUUCCACGUGUAGCAGUGAAAUGCGUAGAGAUGUGGAGGAACACCAAUGGCGAAGGCAGCCCCCUGGGUCGAUACUGACGCUCAUGCACGAAAGCGUGGGGAGCAAACAGGAUUAGAUACCCCAGUAGUC